rnacentral:rRNA from 1 species
UUGAAAGGGAAACGAUUGAAGUCAGUCAUCCGACGGGAAUCAACUUAAGGGAAACUCUGAGUGCANUUCUCUGUUUGACAGGUUAGNUUCGAUCUUGCCUAUCAUAAAAAAAUGGGGGAAGGUAGCUCUUUCGGGAGUGUUAUAGCCCUUGGUAGAUGUGAUCUCUGGGAUCGAGGAUUGCAACGGAUACCCUUCGGGGCUAACCNCCUGAUCUCUAAUUAGUGUUGGGUUACGGACAGCAUGCUGACCGUGAUCUAAUUACUGGUUAAAAGUUUAGAGCAAGUGUAAAUUCGUUAAGGAUGUUGACGUA